UACGUAGGGUGCAAGCGUUGUCCGGAAUUAUUGGGCGUAAAGCGCACGUAGGCGGACCAUCAAGUCGGAUGUGAAAUCCCUCGGCUUAACCGAGGACGUGCAUUCGAAACUGAUGGCCUUGAGUACGAAAGAGGAUCGCGGAAUUCCCGGUGUAGAGGUGAAAUUCGUAGAUAUCGGGAGGAACACCAGUGGCGAAGGCGGCGAUCUGGGUCGAUACUGACGCUGAGGUGCGAAAGCGUGGGGAGCAAACAGG
rnacentral:rRNA from 1 species